rnacentral:tRNA from 1 species
GAACCAUCCUUGCUGGCAGCUUUGCGGACUUCUAAUCCGCGGCUCGCAGGUUCGAAUCCUGCCGGAC